rnacentral:lncRNA from 1 species
ACUGGAAUGCUGGAGUUGUUGCACCGUGUGAAGUAUGCGUGGAGGCUGGUGGUGUGAAGUUGGAUCUGCCAAACCUUACUGGACGUUGCAUGGGCCGGGAGCUUUUUCUUCUAUAGCCAUGGGCCGUGGAGGCUGAAAGUGUGAAGCUUUUCAAACUGCUGCAGUGCAUGGAGUGUGAAGGCUGGACGUUUCUUCGCAUGGGUGCUUCUGGGCCGCACCUCCAUAAUUUGCUGUUGGACCGUGAAAGCCUCCUUAAGUGCAGCGUGGAUGAACGUGGAGUAGCUUGUUGGAUGCUCCAGCUUCUGGACGUGAGAAGAUAUGUUGGACGCACCUCCCAUGUGACUGCGCAAGUGAUGUUGGCCGUUACCUUUUUAUAAGUUGGACCAGCUGCUGUCCAAGCCUUCACGUGCUGCUGUAAGUGGUCUUUGAAGCUGGCUCGUAUACACUCCCAAGCUUGGACGCUGCCAAUUGAAUUUCAGGCCCAAAAUCAGCAGCUGUCUUUUGUUCCUCUAAGUGGCAGCUGCAUCAUCUCAUUCAUACAUGUGCUGCAGCUAGAAUUUCUGUCUGGACGUGCUAGUGCACAAGCCCGCAAGUGCUUUCUUUCUAACGUUGAAAUAAGUGUGCAGCCAUUUAACUUGUUGGGCCGUGGCAUCUGUUACUUCUGCAGGACAACAUGUUCUUCUCUCCAUUGCACAGCCUAGAGAAAAAAACGUUAAAUAGAGGGCCCCCGCUGCACCUCCUUUUUUACUAAAUCAGCACCCCCACUUUUCUUUAAUCACAAAUGUGCC